GGAAGGGAGUUUUCUGUAAUUCUUCCUGGUAUGUUGAACCCAUUUUAUUUAUGGUUAUGCAGCUGUACAUUUAGAGUGUGAUCAUUGGAAGAAACCUCUGUGGUUUCCAGGUGCACUUCCUUCACUGAGGAAUCUGAGAGCUUGGGGCAUUGGCCUGUUUGCCCAAGGUCACAGAGCCAGCAAGAUGCAGAGUUGGGGUAGGAGCCCAGUGAAUAGAUUCUAGGUCCUGUGUUCCAGAUAUGUCUCUGAGAAGGAUUAUCCCGAGAUGGGGCAGAGAAAAAUGAGGAGGAAAUAGAGGCAGAGAAGUUGGAGAAACAGACCAGAGAAGGUGGGAGCUGGAGACGGGACGCGUGGGAAAGCCAAGCUCUGAGCAGAAUCAGCUGUGAGGUGGAGGGCAUUUCUGCCGCCCUCGGAGUGGAAUAAGGAGCGGCUUGGCUGAGGCCAGGGUGCAGAGGGGCCAGCUGAGAGUCCUGCCUGGGCCCGAGACGGACCUGGAGUCCCUGUGGUCUCUCCUGGUGACCCUCUGAUUUCAGAGUAUGCUGGAGGCUGCUUCGGAGGCCUGUGGCUGAGGACAAGCAGGAUCUGGACAUGUGGGAGGCAGCUAUGCCAGCGGGAUGCUGGCGAAUGCUGAGGGGUCCCAGUUCUGCUGAAGCUCCCCCCAACCUUUAAUGCAAAACUACAGCAAAGUUUUCCAUGACAUUUCUGUUUGAUGAAAGCAGCAUUUUCUCCUCUGUCGUUCAUGGGUGCUUUGUACAUUUUAUGAGUUGGCGAUUCAUGGACUCCCUUUCCAGAGAUGUCUGGAGAUGACUGCUUUGCUGAAUUGGAGCUCAUUUUGGGGGAAGCCUCUGGCUUAUGACCUGAGCUAAGCCUCAUAAUGUUUCAGUGGGCAAUUCAAUAGCUGUGAACAGUGGUUAAGCGGAGCAUGAGCCAUUCAAAGGCCAGGAUAAAAGGUGAUAAGACUUUGAAGUCUAUAGCCCAAGCCCUGAGCUGGCAAUGAAUAGUACUUUUCUUUGGCCAAUUUAGGAAGUGUCUUAUGGAUCCUUGGUUGCUCUUGCUUUUUGUCUGCGGUGGGCCCAUUGUCUGUUCCUGUGUUUUGCUGCCUGUCUUCCUUUUCCAUUGUUUCGCUCCUCUAUCCAUUUCUUUCUCUCUCCUCCCUUGUAUGUUUCUCCUAGCUCCCCUGCCCGUCCUUUCUUUACUAUUGAUGAUACAGCUUUGUAGUGUGUUUUAAUGCGUUUAUUGCACCAUUAAAGUUUCACGUUCUCUGUUCUUAAUUUAAAAUCACCGUUCAGUCUUUUUGAAUGUGUAUGUGUUUUACACACAAAAUAAGCAAGACAAACAAACCAAACCCAAUUAAAUUGCUUUUUAUUUCCAUGUGGUCUUUCAUUGAUUUUUCCCCCCUUUUCUUUUGUGGUCAGUAGUAGCUCUUCAUAAAAAGACAAAAUUUCCUAGGUCUCUGUCAUGUGGUUAUUGUUUUUACAACAAAACCAGCUACCAUAAUAGAAAAAGUUUCCACUCUUCUAUUGUGAGCCACAAGGGACACCCUUUCCCAAGAGAUGUGCCCUAUUUUAUGACUUCCUCCCUGGAAGGGGUGUCUUUAAUAUGUUCUCCAGCAGGAGCCGUGCUCUGAGGGGUGAGGAUGCUUUUGGUGGAGAUGGGGCUUUGGAGCAGGCUGUGGCCAAAAGAGUGUGCCUGGGAAGAAUUUAGACUGAUGGCUCCUCUUUGUUUCCCCAGGCUGAGCUAACCCAGGUGGCUGUAACAGCACCCAGACCUCUUUGGGAGAGAACGAGGUGCUUUCUAGUUAGUGCUGGGUUGGGACUGUGAGGCGUCUUGUGUUCACCCUGGAGGGUGGUGUGAAGUGCAGACGCUGUAAUGGGUCUAUGCUGGACAACCAUUGUCAUAUAUAUUUUUUACAAGAAAACUUUUUUAAAGAUUUAUUUGAAAAGCAGAGUAUUUUUUGCUGCCUGUCAAAAGAGGUAGAAGCAGAGAGAGAGAGAACGUGAGCAAGCGAGGUCUUCCAUCCGCUGGUUCACUCCCCAAAUGGCCACAGCAGCCUGAGCUGAGCUGAUCCAAAGCCAGGAGUUAGGAGCUUCUUCCGGUCUCCCACGUGGGUGCAGGGGUCCAAGCACUUAGGCCAUUUUCUGCUUAUUCAAGCCACAGUAGAGAGCUGGAUCAGAAGUGGAGCAGCCGGAACUAGAACGAGUGCCCGUAUGGGAUGCUGGCACUGUAGGCGGUGACUUUUGCCUGCUACACUACAGCGCCAGCCCUCAUUGUCAUAUCUUUCAGACUCCGAUUAAUUACAGAGAAGGCUGAGUCUUGACGCGCAGGGGUCUACAAGUAGGUCGGUGUCUGAAGUGGGUCUCCCAUGCAAGAAAUCGCCGUGAAGACUCCAGUUUUUCUAUUAAAAAUUCACAUGCAUUUUGUAUUCUUUCUAAAAACGUCUGUGCUGGUUUUAGUAUAAAAGUAUUUACACUAAACAGUAAGUGCUUUGCUGUUGAAUACAAUUGAUGGUCCAGGAAAAUAUUGUUUAUCUUGGGCCUUCCUUUCCCCUGGUCCUCCCCAAAUGUGCACAGCAAGCCAUAUACUACAGCCGGAGAAGCCAGGGGGAGGGCAGGCGGCAGCCCUGCCUGGGGAGAACCCCUCCAGUCCUUCCUUCCUGCGGGCUCUGCGGGACCCAAGCAUUCAGAGCGCUCACCGUCCCCAGAGGCGGGUCCAGCCAGCUGCUGUGCUCCUGUGUGCAUUUCCCUGGCUGACUCCUGCUUCUUGCGUCUGAAAGAGCUGCCGCUUCCCCCGGAGUUCAUCUUCUCCUUUUGCCAUUGCUGCUCCCCUUGUCUUCCCCAGAUUCCGAAAACUGGGAAGAGAAAGUCCCUGUUUCAUCUUUCUUCUUCAGUUAGAUUCUCAUUUCUGCGAGUUAAUAUGUGCAGAGUUUUAAUGCUGCAAGGAGUGUGGGAAGCCUGUGGCACCCCUCCUCAUCCCGGGCAUCCGUCCCCGGAGUCGUCACUGAACAUGAUUUUCUGUUGCUGCAAUAAAUGACUGCUACAGACUUAGUGGCUUCAGACAGCUCAAAUUUGUUUUACAUUUCCGUAGAUUAGAGGUCUGAAAGGGGUCUCCCAGGGCAGAAAUCAUGGCGUUAGUGGGGCUGUAACCCUUUCUGGGGAGGCUGCUUCUUCCCUGCUCUCCGCAGUAUGCAGAGGCCACCUUUGGCCUGAGCUUGGAGCCCCUGCACCGUCUUCAGACCUAGGAGUGGCUGCUUGAGUCCCUCUCCCACUGCCUCUCACAGGUCUUCUGCCGCUGUCACACCUUCACCUGACUCCCUCCUCUUCCUUCCUCUUCCACUUUUCUGUGUGAUUACACUGGAUCAUCCACAGUUGUGUCUGUGUGUUAGACACUUGAUCAGCCAUCUUCAUUCCCCUUUACCAGGUAACCUCCCAGGGUCAGACAUCUGGGGUUAGGAUGUGGACAUUUUGAAGGUCUCCAGUAGUCACUUACAACCCUUUCAGUAGUUUUCUUCUGAUAUAAGCAACACAUUUAUAAGUUACGUUUAAAAUGUUCUUCCCUGAUGGUUCAUUUUAGAUUUACUUUUACUUUGUUUUUCAAACAUAUGAAAAUAAAUAUUCACAAAUAAAUAGAGAGCAAGUGAGCGAGAGAUCUUCCAUCUGCUGAUUCACUCCCCAAGCCUACAACAGCCAGGACUGGGCCAGGUUGAAGCCAGGAGCCUGGAACUCCAUCCAGGUCUCCCAUGUUGCUGGAAGGGUUCCAAGCACUUGAGCCAUCAUCUGCUGCCCCCCAGGGUGCUGCCAGGGUACAUUAGUGGAAAGCUGGAUUGGCAGUGGAGGGGCUGGGAUUGGACUGGCACUUUGAUAUGGAAAGCAGUUGUCCCAAGCUGCAGCUUAACCUGCUGCGCCACAGUGUCUGCUCCAGAUGUUAUUUUUAGAUGUUCUUUUUGUUAUUGUUGUUAAAGAUUUAUUUAUUCAUUUGAAAGGCAGGAAGGCAGGGAGGGAGAAAGAGAGAGAGAGAGAGUUCAUCUGCUGAUUCACUCCCCAGAUGGCUGCAGCAGCUGGGGCUGGGCCAGGCUGAAGCCAUGUGCAUGGAACUCCAUCCAGGUCUCUCAUGUGGGUGAAAGGGACCCAAGCCAUCUUCCCCUGCUUUUCCAGGCACAUUAGCAGGGAGCUGGAUCAGAAGGGAAAGAGCCAGGACUUGAACUGGCACUCCUGGGAUUCCAGCAUUGCUGGCAACGGCUUAACCCGCUGUGCCACAGUGCCGGCAGCUGGCUGUUAUUUCCUGAUGUCCUUCUGUGGAGUAGAGGAGCCCUUGUCACACCUCACCCGGUUAUUCCCUUCCGCUGUCCUGCCAGUAUGGUUACAUCUGGUUUUGGUUACACCGACGCUCAGUGUUUACAUUCUAUCGACUGUGUAAGUAGCGUUCAUGGCCCAGCCAUGUAGUGUACUAUAGUGAUGUUUCCCCUCUUGUGCGUUUGUUGACUUAAAAUUGCCGUGUUUUUUCUAUUUAUGUUAUCUUCAAUGUACUCAUUACUGAUUCCCGAUGUAUACGGUAGGGAUGUUUUAAAACAUCUCUGUUUUAUAGCACGUGUCCUUUUUACUUUAGUUGGCGGAGACUUCCCUGUCGGGCCUCCAUCCCGCUCCAGAGGUGCUUGCCCAGUGACCUUUUGGCCUGCAGCAUGACUCAUCCUGGGAAUCCCCUCACCUUAUCCUGGGUUGGGUCCUCUGUUUCCUCUCUGGUUUAUUCCUCUGCGGGUUUCUGAGAGUCUGUGCAAAUGGUCCAGCUUGCACGUCUGAAGUGUUUCUCUAUGCUUGAACUUGAUUGGUGAUUUGACUCAUACAGACUUUUAGGUUGAAAGUCAAUUUCCCUUCGAGGUUUGAAGGCAUUGCUCUACUGUCUUCUAGGUUCCAGUAUUAAUGUCAGAAAUUUGGAUGCCAUUCUGAUUUCUUGUUGUCUGUAACCUGAUUUCUCAGUGAAAGUUUUUAGGAUCUUCUCUUUCCUUAUGAUUGAAAUUCCUUGCUUUAGAAAUUAUUGGUCCUAGUCGGUAGUGUAUGCUUUUAAUCUGAAGACACAUAUUUCAGUUUUGGGACAUCUUCAUAUAUAUAUAUAUGUACUUAAUAAUUUUCUCCAUUUUCUGUGUUUCACCUUUGGAACUCCUACUGGUUGGGUGUUGGGCCUCCUGGAUUGAGCUUCUAAUUUUAAAAUCUUUUAUUUCCUGUUUUCCAUUAAAUUCUGUUUUUGUUUUACUUUUUGAGAGAUAGUUGCAGCUUUUUUAUCUUUAAUUCUGUUCAGUUUUUUAACUUCUGCUUUUGUGUUUUUACAUGAGAUGAACUUGCAUGUUUUACUUUCUGAGAGCUCCCUAGUUCUCCGAAUGUCCCCUUUUCUUUUUUAAAUAACAUCCUGUUCUUGUUUCAUGAGUACAAUAAAAUCCUGUGUUUUCUUUUCUUUUCCCUUUUCUUUUCUCUUCUUUUUACUCUCCCCCCGUGGUUUUCUGCCAUUCGCUCAUCUGUCUUUCUUUCUGCUGAUCCCCUUUCUGCUUCCUUUGGGGACUGCAUUUCCCCGGGUCACCCUUCCAGCACACUGAUCCUUGUCUGACCAUCUAGAUAGCAGUGGAAGCCACACUGCUGGUUGGGCGUCUGUGUGGUCGUAAGGGGCUUGUUCGCUUCCUUGUAGGGUGACCCGGCAGAGAACUACUUCUCCCACCCUUUUUUCCCCUCCCACUGGAGAAACCUGCAUAAUCAGUGCCUGUGGCUCUUUGCUCUGGGACUUUCCUGGAAAGGGUUUUCCUGGAGAGCAUUUUGCCUGGGGGUGGGGUAAGGUGGGUAACAGCUUCGGUGUUCUGCACGGUGGGAAUGUGAAUAAGAGAGGGGCUGGCUGUUACCCUGCUUGUGUGCAGACUGCUAGGUGUGCUGAGCGUCCAGGUCUUUGGAAAGUUGCCCCUCUCCCCGCCCACCUCACUCAGCUCUGUCAGAAUCCGAGUUUCUGGUGCAAGUUGGACUUGGACCUUUACCUUGUGCUGGCUGAGGGAGGAAACCACCAGGCUGAGCAGGGAGCCUGGGGCUGAUGGCUCCUCAGACAGGCUUGUAGCAGGCUGUCUUUGUUUUCCCCCUAUCCUGCUUCUACCCUUAGAGUCCCAGGGCCUCCAGCUCCCGAGCCUUCUCCAGGUUCUGUGCUGGGAGUUGGUGACUUACUUAGUAGUUUUUUGGCAGAGCAAACAGAACUGAAACCUAAGUCAGCUGCUGGGCAUGGAGGUCUCCUCUCCCUCCCUGGAGUUCUGUUGACACAGCGUUGUCUGCUAUUGUUUCCUUUCCUUGAAGAAACCAGUUCCUCUACUGGUCUUUCAGUGGGGUUCUGGGAGAGAGCAGAGGUAGGCACAGGUGUCCAGUCUGAUGGAGUUUCUUUAAUCUCUUUGUCCAUGCCCUUAGGCUUGUGCCGGAUGUAAGUCAUAGAUCAAGAAAUGUUUGAUUGAAUGCAUAUUUGUUUUUAAGAUGACACGCAUGCAGUUGGUCACCAGAUUUCAGUAGAGUCCCACACACGCAGUCUUACUAUUGUGAUAAUGCCAGGCAGUGGAUCCUACCCUACUUCCUGUGCAGUGUAGGCUGAGAGGCAGCACUGACUGCUGGGCUGGGGGUGGCAGGGCUGGGUGCUGGCUCCAGCCCUCUCGCUAGCUACCUGGGUCACCUUGAGAAGUUACGUAACCUCUCUGCAUCUUGAUAUCCUCAACCUUAAAGUGAGGUGCGGGUGAAUCCUGUACCUACUGUGUGCAAGGCACAGCGCUUCGAUUCUUCCAGGUAUCUUUAAGGGAGCCUGUGCUGUGACAUGGGUCAUGCUGAAUUGAUUGCACUUGGCUUCUAUAUUUCACACAGCUUAGUUCUGUGUCUUCUUCUGCUUCUUUUUUCUUUCUUUUUUUUUUUUUUUUUGAAGAUUUAUUUAUUUAUUUGAAAGUCAGAGUUACAGAAAGAGGGGGAAAGAGGGAGAGACAGGGAGAUUUUUCUAUCCUCUGGUUCACUCCCCAAAUGGCUGUAACACCCAGGGCUGGGCCACACUGAAGCCAGGAGCCAGGAGCUUCAUCCAGAUCUCCCACAUGGGUGCAGGAGCUCAAGCACGUGGGCUGUCCCUGCUGCUUACUUAUCCCAGGCCGUUCAGCAGAGAGCUCGAUUGGAAGUGGAGCCGCUGGGACUGGAACCAGUGUCCAUAUGGGAUACUGGUGUUGCAGGUGGAGGUUUUACCCACUGUGCCACAAUGCCAGCCCCCUUCAAUAUUUUGGACAAAGUCCUCUGCAUGUAUUACCUCUUACUGUUUCUAGACUGUAGGCUCCUGGUGAGGACGGCCUACCAGUCAUCUUUGUAGCUCCUUUGUCUACCACGGGCCUACCACAUGCAAGUGUUGGUAGUGUAUUGUUCUGCACACUCCCUAGCCCACUUAUGGAGCUGGGGUCUUGAGGGAACUGAUGUUAAAGUCAGUGGGGAGAACGAUUCUGUACCCCAGCCCUGACACUGAAGGACUCUGUGCCUCUAAGCACAUCGCAGUCAUGUAUUUGUUUAAUAGGCUCCAUGCUGUUGUCACUUAAGAGUGUAUUCAUCGGACCAGCACUGUGGUGUAGUAGGUUAAGUCUCUGUUUGUGGUGCCAGAAUCCCAUAUGGGUGCUGGUUUGUGCCCUGGGUGCUCUACCUCCAAUCCAGCUCCCUGCUGAUGGCCUGGGAAAGCAGUGGAAGAUGACCCAAAUGCUUGUGUUCCUGCACCCACGUGGGAGACCUGGAAGAAACUCCUGGCUCCUGGCUUCAGAUUGGCCCAGCUCCAACUGUUAUGGUUAUUUAGGGAGUGAACCAGUGAGUGGAAGACCUCUCUCUUCCUCUCUACCUCUCUCUGUCUGCAAUUCUACCUCUCAAAUAAAUAACUAAAUCUUUAAAAAAUGUAUGCAUCUUAACUAUGGACAUGAAUUGCAGGCAGAACCCUGCAAUUACAGUGUUUAAGAACAUGCUAAGUGUUUUUUUUUUUUUAAUAAUGUAUUUUGGUUUUCUCACACCUUUGUGCUUAUGUGCCAGAACCAGUAGAUUUAGGUAAGUGAAGUAGAACUUUUCAUCGAGAGCUACUGGCACCAGGCUUCAUUGGGAGCCCUGAACUCCUUGUUGAGCCAAGGCUGGACACCUACAGGCCAGGGAGCCUGAAGAAUCAAUGCCAGUGUAGGAGACGAAGUAUAUUAGAGCAGCUGAAAAGUCCCUGGCUUUUGAUUUGCUCAACAACUAGGAACUGAGCACCCCCUAUAGACCAGGGUCCGUGUGGGCCCUGGGAACAGACAAAAAUGGCACCUGCCCUCCUGGGGUUUACAGAGCAGUGCUGAGCUGUGUCAUGUGGUUGUGACUAACACAUGUGCUUAUUUACAUUAAUUAAAACGAAAAAAUCCAGUUUCUUAUCUUUGCCUCAUUUCAAGUGUUCAGUGGCUGCGUGUGAUCGGUGACUGCCCUAUGAACAGUACAGAUCUAGAACAUUCCAUCAUUGCAGGUGGUUCUCUUAGGCAGGCUGGACUAUGGAGCUGAGAUUCUGUGUCAGGACCAGGUAUCUUUCUAGCUUCACCACAGAGGCCACUGAGGCACAGCUGGGAACACACCUGUCUUGGAGUGUGGCUCCUGUCUCCCUGAAGUGAGCUAGGGGUGCAGAGUGACUAAGGGGGUGGUCUCUGUGCUCAGGUUGCCUGGGUUCAGAUCUUACCUCUGCUACUUCCCGGCUUUGGGACCCAGGGCAAGCCACUGCCUCGUGCCUCAGUUGCCUCACCUGAGAAAUGGAGAGAACAACAGUACCUCCUAGCUCAUAGGAUUGCAGGGAGGAUGAGUGAUCCAGUGGUACAGACCUUGAGAACUGUGCUGGCACAUGGUAAUCAUACAGAAUCACAGGUCACUGCUGUCAGACGAGAGGACACAGGAGGUACUGAUGGAGCCAGUGCGCCAUCUUCCAACAGGAGACUGGAGCGGAAGAAGAAUGUUGGCAGGGAAGGCUGUUUGUGGAGUUGACUGACCACCUGCAGAAGGACACACGUGAACAUUUCUAAGCCCAGGACUACUUCCAUCACGUGUGCUUAUGUAUAAAAAUGCCUGUGUGUGUGUGUGUGUGAGUGUAUGUUGUGGCACAGCAGGGUAAGCCAUCGCUUGUGUUGCCACAUCCCAUAUCUGAUUGCUGUGCUGCUGUGCUUCCAAUUCAGCUCCCUGCUAAUGCACCUGGGAAGGCAGUGGGUGAUGGCCCACGAGCUUGGUUCCCUGCCCACGUGGGAGACCUGGAUGGAAUUAUGGACCCCUGGCUUUGGCUUGGCCUCACCCCAGCUGUUGUAGGCUGUGAAGUGAAACAGUGGGUGGAUGGAAGAUCCCUCUUUCUGUGUCGCUCCCUCUCCUUUUCAAAUAAAUAGGUGAAACAAAUCUUUUAAGAAAAAUGCCAGCAUUUCUCAGAGCCCUCUGUGUCUUGAAACUGGUUGUUAGGGCUUGGAACUGGGUCUUUCCACUGUCUCCUUCUUCCUGGUUUCCCCCUACCUGGGCUGGUCCCCAAACACCCUUGCUCCCCUCUCUACCUCAGAGAGUGGGGUCACGUUCAGUGCCCCCCCUCCCCCCAGCCUCCUCAUGGAACUGAGGGAUGCCCUGCAGGAGUGAACGAGAGAGAAAGGACAGAAGGCUGCGGUGAUCCAGCACUUGGGUCCUGGUCUUGUCCUUGAGGGUUCAGUCUCCUGAUGAUGUCAUCUUCUCGUGGCUCAGUCUCUCCAGCAGGCAGGUCAGUGGCAAGUAGCCCUGCCUUCCCAGAGGGGCUCUGUGUGGCUGGAUGAGGAGAGAGAGCUCUGAUGUUAGUCCCAGGGAUGAGACGGGGAGGGGGCAGGGGAUUCCCGGCUUGCAUGUGGAACUUUAGCUUAAGGAAGCGCGUUAGUAGCCACAGAGGUCGGUGUGGGCCCCGCCCCCUGGAGUUGAUUUCCGCCCAGCACAGCAGGGGCAGGGCUCUUGUCAAGGGCCUUUCAGAUCAUAGAGCAGGAAGGCUUCAGUGUGACAAGGCGUGUGUGGGGAGGUACGUGCAGUGAGGACACCCUGCGGACACGUGAUGGAUGUGGCACCUUGCCACGCCUGAGUGAGGAACGCAGGGCAGGUAGAGGCUGGGCGUCUCGUCGAGGCAGACCCAGGGGCAGCCUGAUUCUCAUCGCCGUGUAGAAAUACAGGUUUUCUCUGAGUCCUGGGGAUCAGAAGUUUUGAGUACUUGAAGCUUUAACCUGUAACUGACGCUGCCAACCUCGUUCCCGCUCUGGCCUUGACUUUGGGUUAUCAUGGGUGACUCUCUGGUCGGUAGCAUUUGUAAAAGGAAGGGGUGCUUAGUAGAUUCCAGAAUCGCCCCUGUGCCCCCCUGAGCCAUUGCGGAGGCUCAUGGCUCUGUUGUGCAAAGCCCGAUGUUUUGAUAAUUAGCGUCAACCUGACGGCUGACCUUUGAGCUGGGUUUCCGAGAAUGAAAGGUCAUGAGGGCAUGCCUCAUGAAACCCAAACAAUCUCUUGCUGCCUGGCGGCUGUGGCACCGGUAGCUGUGUACACGAGCGGUUUCCUUGUCCAGUGUCUGCGGGUUGCUUUUCUCCACCUCGAGUUUGUCUUUAGUCGGGGCAGAGCUGGUAUGCGGUAUCUGUGUCAUGUGAGCACAGAAUGGUGGUUAGGGCUUGGAGUUGCCUGUGCUGCACUGGCAGGGGGAAUGGGGCCGUUUUCCUGGUAGGCUGAUGUUAGGGAGUCAUUGCAGGGCUGCUGGGACGUGGAUCCUGCUGUGGCUUCUGUGCUCAGGCCUUUCUUCACGGGCAGCGCACCCAGGAGGCUGGCGCUAGGACACUGGGUAGGGCCUGGAAGCCAAGGAUGACGUGAGACAGGCCGGAACUGGAGCAGGGAGAUCUGAGUCGCCGCCCCAGUGGCCGGGGCAGUGGGAAUCUGGGUGGAGCAGCCAGGGUAAGAGUGGGAACAGCUUUUAAGCUGGACAAAGUGAAUAGAGGCUGUGGAGAAAGCAGACCCCCAACAGGAGCAGCAGUGGGAGUCGCUGGGGAAAGCCGAGGCUUGGGGGAGCCGAGAGCCACUGGAGGUGGCUGCCGAGCCCCAGACCUGUACCAAGGCAGCGUGAGGCCUUUUAGGGCGACUUGACGUUUGCUUCUCGGAACCUGUGUGUCAGACGUGGUGCAUUGGCGAGUUGGCGUGGCAGGUGUGAGGGGGCGAGUCCCCCUAGGAACUGGGAAAUCUUAGUCAUGCCCGGGCACUGACAGAAGAUACGAUGCUGUUUCAGACAGCUGCUGCAGGAGGCUCAGCAGCCGCCAGCCCGCAUUCCGGGCUACGGCCUUGGCUUUUUCUUUAAUUAUUAAAGCCAGGGGACGUUGAAAUACUCACCUGAAGCAUUGCUCUGAUGGCUUUUCCUUCUCGGGGUCAGAGGGGCUCCAGCAGAGAAGACGUUUUGUGGCCUGUGGUUCUAAGAUGCUCCUGGUGUCUCCCUCCUGGAACACAGGUGCUUGCCCGGGCAGCCAGGAAAGCCAGAAGAAACCCCAGGCAGCGGGGUGCAGACCUCCGUGGGCUGUCUUGCAGCGUGGUGUCUGCUCUGAGCACGUCCUUACCGAGAGGAGGAUAGUGUGUUUGUUUUUAUCGUAGGCCAGGCAGAAGCAGUGCUGUUAGAAGGCGUAAAAUAUUUAACACUCUUUAAAAAAUUAAACUGCCCGGGAGACUUCCAUCGGUGGUGCCCAUGGCAACAGGCAUCGUUCUCAAGAGUGCCUUCCUGGGGCUUGUGGGUGUCUCAGAAGGGACGGGAUUGGGGCCUGGUCUUGGGAGGGCCGGAUGGGAGGCUGAGCGCUCACCUGCUUUGCGUGGGCAGAGGCUGGGCUGAGCCACCCCUUCAGCAGUCCAUAGUGGUAGUUGGGGUUGGGGUGGGUGGGGAGGUGGCCUAUUUUGACAGGAGGAGAAGGAAUAGAGGGAAGAUAACUUACUGCCCCUUCGGGGUUUGUCCAUUCCUUCUUUUUGUGGAUUGACCUCUAUUGUUCCUGGCACUUGCUUUCCCUGCUUCAGGGCUUUUCGCUUGUGUGGUUUCCCUAUCCUGGAGUGCUCCUUCCUCCUCUGUCUGGACAGCUCUGUUGUCUCCUUCCAUUGUCCCCUGGAGCAUGGUGUUCUCGGGAAAUGGAGCCGCCAGGCCAGGUUAAAGUCUGCACCAUGCAGGCUAUUGUGGCUGUGGGGUUCUGCGCAGAACCUCUGCCUAGCAUUUGUCUCUGCCGCCUUGGCACACUUGCUGGGCAUAUCAUUGUUUGCCUACCAGUCUGUUGGAUCCCAGGGCUGCCUGGUCACUCUUGUGUCUUAAGUGCCUACCAUGUACCUGGCCUGCAGGAGGCGCCACACCACCUGUUGGGUAAAUUAAUGCAUUUAUGAAGUUUGGGUUCUGUACAAGGGUUUGGGAAUACAAAGAGAAUAAAACAUCCCCACUAUCCUCAACGAAAUCCUAAACUAGGGCAGUGGGUGAGCUCUCAAGACCCCCUUGGAGGUGCAGGAAGAAAACAGUCUUGCCUGAGUUUUGUUUGCUCUUUUACUAAAAGACAUAGCUUUGCUAUUUAAAGAGGGACACAUUUCAUAAUUAGCUUGGAGGUUAAUGUGCUCACAGCUGUUUCACUAAUAGGAAAGUGCCAUCAGGAAGUUUGGUGAAGGCCUCUCUGAAGGGAGAGGGAAGCAAAUGAAAGGGCUUUUUAUGCAAAAGUGUGCUGAGCACUAUGUCAGGGCAAGUACAAGGCCAGAAGAGGGCAUUCCUAUUAGUACGCAGAGGCUGGCACGUGCAAAGGCACGGUGGCUUGGUGGGAAGAAGCCUCAGUGCGCUGGGAGAAGCGGCGAACACAGUAACAAGGCAGGGCUAGGGCUUGCUGGGUCCAUACUACCAGGAGGGGGUGGGGACGACAGGAGGGAAUACCAAAUGGAUAAGACUGGGCUCCUGCCUGCAGGGUGGGUGUGGUGUGUUAAGGGAGAUGAGGGAGGAGAAUUGCAAAUGCCUUAGGAGAGACUCAGCAGAGAGGAUACCUGGGGUUCAGAAGAGGUUGGAUAGUUUGGUUGGGAGAGAUCAGACCUUGUCAUGCUUUAACAAUCUACCAUGGGUGGGGCUGGCAUUUUGGUGCAGUGAGUUAAGCUGCCACCUGUGAGACUAAACAACCUGCUCCUGAAUGAACCGUGGGUCACAGAAGAAAUCAAAAGAGAAAUCAAAAACUUUCUGGAAGCAAAUGAAGAUAACACAACAUAUCAAAACUUAUGGGAUACAGCAAAAGCAGUGUUAAGAGGAAAAUUUAUAGCAAUAGGUGCCUCCAUCAAGAAAUUGGAAAAACACCAAAUAAAUGAACUAUCAAUGCAUCUCAAGGAUCUAGAAAAAAUACAGCAAACCAAACCCAAAACUAGAAGCUGGCAUCCCAUAUGAGCACCAGCUCAUGUCCCUGCUGCUCUGCUUCCAAUCCAGAUCCCUGCUAAUGUGCCUGGGAAGGCAAUGGAGGAUGGCUCAAGUGCUUGGGCCCCUGCACCCGUGUGGGAGACUCUGAUGAAGUACGGAUUCUGGCUUCUGCCUGGCCCAGCCCUGGCCAUGUGGGUAGUAAACCAGUGGAUGGAAGAUUUUUCUGUCUUUCUCCUCUUCUUUUCUCUCUGUAACUCUACCUUUCAAAGAAACAAAGAAAGGUUAAAAAAAUAGUCUAGCAUGGACAAGGUUACACAAGGGGAAGGAGUUUGGCUUCACAUUAUGGCCUGUCUUGGGUUAAGACUUCUCCAUGAAGUUCUUCUUUGUCUAUUCCUGCCCAGUGGGAUUCAUUCUUUUCCUUCCUUCCUUCCUUCCUACCUUCCUUCCUUCCUUCCUUCCUUCCUUCCAUUUUUAUUUAUUUGACAGAGUUAGACAGUGAGAGAGAGAGAAAGGUCUUCCUUCCGUUGGUUCACCCCACAAAUGGCUGCUAUGGCCAGAGCUACGCCAAUCUGAAGCCAGGAGCCAGGUGCUUCCUCCUGUGGGAGGUGCUGCACCCCUGUGGGUGCAGGGGCCCAAGCACUUGGGCCAUCCUCCACUGCCUUCCUGGGCCACAGCAGAGAGCUGGACUGGAAGAGGAGCAACUGGGACUAGUACCCGGCGCCCAUAUGGGAUGCUAGUGCCUCAGGCGGAGGAUUAACCAAGUGAGCCAUGGCGCUGGCCCCCAGUGGGAUUCUUAACAUCACAUGACUCAGGUCCUUCCUUGGGCUGUGUUUACCAGAUCACAACAUUGUAUAUGAACAAGAAAAUGGCACAUGGCUAUGUGGGUAGGCACCCUCAGUGUGUUCACUUACCUGUGUAGUCAUGCACACUCCUUUCCUAGCUUCUCUUGUUUUCAAGUCCCAGGGCUUGAAGUAAUUAUGUAAUUAGAAUCCACACUGAGUGUGGCUAGAUAAGGUGUAAUUAGAGAGGAAAGCCUAAUUUUGGAAGAAUGAUAAGAGGUCAUUUGACUCAGUCCGGGCCCAAAUCCAAUCUUGGGAGAACAGUAGGAGGUCAUUUGGAUGUAGGGAGCUUGAGGCCACCCAGGGGCCCAGAUUGGCCUGAGAACUGGACAGAUUCUGUUUCAGCUCACUGUGAAGGCCGUUCAUUGAACGUCUUUUUGGUAGAGGGACUUGUCCUGGAUCUGUGGAUCUUAGGGAGGACCCGUCCUAGAGACCCGCGAUGAGGUCCUAGAACAGAGGUGAAGACUCCUGGGUGAGCAGGGCGUUGGGGAUGAAGUCACAGGGUAGGUGGCAUAGCAGCCACGUCUCGAAGGGGAAGGAGGGCCUUGAGCGCAUUGGCAGGAGCCCUGUGGGUACGUGAGAGGCUUUCACAUAGUAUCUGUGGAGCGAACGCCCGGCUGAGGUCGAGGUGGAAGGGACACAGAUGUGUGGAUGGUCCUGUGGCCAGCUCACUCAGCUCAGGCAGUACAGUGGCAACACAAGGCCAAAGGCCAUGCAGCGGUGACCACGUGCACCGUGGACAGCGGAAGGUUCCUUGUAGAACGUGGCUUGGACAGAGCCUUGCAGGACCAGUGGAGAGGGGAGAAUGCAGACGGGAGGACCAUGCAAAGGAGGGGGGUGAACAGGUGCAGACCUAGAGAGGGAGGAGAGCCUUCACCUGGGAGAGGAGGCAAGGACACGGCGGGGAGGUGAGGGCCUCACUGGAAUGAGUGGACUGGUUCCUGGGGGUUGGACAGAGAGGUUUGGUCCAGGGGCACCGAAGAGCCCUGGUGGGCUGCUGGACAGCAGAGUGGCAUGAAGAAGGUGUGUUGAAGAAAGAGGAAUGCGGCCUGGGGUGCAAGAUGGGCUCCUGGGGAGUUCUGCUUCAGCUGCUGGGGCCUGAGCUGACGGGGACUGGGCAGUAGGCCUGGGAAGUGGUGUCCUGUGCCGGCCUUUAUCGCUGCAGGUUCCUGGUCUUGAUGAGAGGCUGGCAACCAAGGCAAGGGCAUAGAGGGAGGAGGCUGCAGGGCUCUUGCCUGGGAGAACAGAGGGGCCCAGUUGGUGGGGAACGAGGCUGUGGAUGGAGCCUUGGCGUGUCAGGAGCCCCCAGAGUCCUGUCCUGCCCCCAUCCGUGGAGAGCCCUGGCACCAGCCCCUUCAUCUGAGUUCCAUUUCCUUGCCAGUGUGAGUCUCUGCCUGUAAGGUUCAGGGUCAUUUCAGAGGAGCGGCAGGGUCUGGGCUGUGAGGUCGUCCCUGGAGGUGAGAGACAAUGGGUGUGUGGAUUAUAUAUAGGCUUCUGCCGGUGUGAGGCCAGGCUGUGUUCUGGGGCAGAGCAGGGAAGGGGUUAAUCUUCCUGCAUUCACAGAAAGGAAGUCCUUAGUGUACCCCUCCCCCACCCCACUCCCUAGCCAGGGUUUGGGAAACUUAAGGCCUUGUAUAAACUUCUGUGCCAAGAAGGCCUCCUGACAGAGGAGGACCUGGGCAGGGCCUUGCAGGGUGAAUAGAGGGAGAGAAGGAAGGACUUUGCAGAGGAGAGAGUGAUGCUGGGUUAGGUUACACAACUUGCAGUAGGGAUUCCAGAAGGGAGGGGGUGCGUUCUGGAACUCUCUGGUGUGCACUGCUUCUGUACCAGGUGCUCCGUGAGCUUUGUCUCAUAAUCCUUACAUCAUUGUCGCCGCCAUCAUUGUUGUCCCACGUUUCAGAUAAGGCAGAGCGAUUCGAGAGAGGCCUGCUUGCCCAAGGUCUCCGUGGGGUGGGUUUGCCUUCUAUUGAGGUCUCUGGCUCCGGUGUUAACAGUCACGCGUGUCACUGUAUUUUGCUGGCUCUCCAGAGGAGAUGGAAAAAAGGACAAUGGUUUGUCUUUGUGACCCUUGUUUCCAAGUUGAACACUGACCUAAAAUGUGGCUCCAGCUGCCAUCCGUGCCACAGCAUCCCAGCACAUUGCCAAACCCAGGAGCUGCUGAUGUGAGGCACUUAGAGCUCCCCAGGGUCUGAAACCCUGGUUUACAGAUCAGGAAACCGAGGCCUGGGAGGGAGAAGGGCUAUUCCAAGGUCAGGGGCAGAACGGGGUUGAGAACCAGAACAGUGUGGAGAUGCUGGUCGUUGUGGCUGUUUUAAGACUCAUUGUGCCCGGUUGCCCCUCUUCCAGGCCAGCUCUCUGCUGUGGCCAGGGAGUGCAGUGGAGGAUGGCCCAAGUGCUUGGGCCCUGCACCCCAUGGGAGACCAGGAGAAGCACCUGGCUCCUGCCAUCGGAUCAGCGCAGUGCGCCGGCCGCGGCGGCCAUUGGAGGAUGAACCAACGGCAAAAGGAAGACCUUUCUCUCUGUCUCUCUCUCUCACUGUCCACUCUGCCUGUCAAAAAAAAAAAAAAGACUCAUUGUGGAAAAGUUUGUUUUUGGACAGACUUGUUUCUGGGCAGACUUGAGUCUGAAAUGUCCCCUGCAUCCAUGUGCGUGUGUGUGUGUGUGUGUCCUUCACCUGAACCUCACACGCCUUUGAACCAACAGGAAGGAUUCCUUCAGACCAGAGGUUAAGACCAAAGGCGUUUGACAGGUGGAAAGGGCAUAGGAAGGAGGGGGAAGAUCAGAAGGCACAGAAAUAGAAGACUAAACUCUAGGCGUGGCCAAAAGGCUCUUCCCAGGCCUGUAAAUCCUCGCUACCAUUUACUGACUGCUCUCGGUGCCAGGCAGUCUUUGCCUGUCACUUUGUGUAACUUCCGUGGCCUUCCCAUGGGGUAGGUGCUGUUUUAUUGCUUCCAUUUUGUGGAUGAAGACACUGAGGCUCAAUGCGUCUAUGACUUCCAGAAAGCCACAGAAUUAGGCUAGAGCCAGGGCUCCGACCCAGGCCCACUCAAUGGAGAGCUCUGUCACUAAUCCCUGAGUUCCAGGGGCCUGCGCGUAGAGGACGCAUGGAGCAGCACAUUUGGGGAGGCCACCCUUCCACCGUGGUUUGCAGCAAGGGGUGAUUUUACCGCAAGGGGACAUUUGGUAGUGUCUGGAGACCUUUUUGGUUGCCACAAUUUAGAGGGUGUUAUUGGGAUUUAGUGGGCUGAUACCAAGCAUCCCCUAAAUGUCUUACAGUGCACACAGCAUAGUCCCCCCCACAUCAGAGGGUUAUCCCCUGUGAGCUUUUGACCCUACCCUUUGGGGACCUGGUUGUAUUUGUAGCCCUCAGAGAGCAGGGUGGGGGAGGGUGAGGAAGGCCCAUCUGAAGAACUGGAGCUGUUCCUGCAGCUCCAGAGACUUAGCUUGUCCUUUAAUGGAUAUUUACAAUUUGUAUUCCUCCUACACUGAGCCCUGAGGGCUGCCGGGUGGUGGGUGGAGGCUGAGACAAAAAAUUCCAACAAGGCCCAAAACCGAGGUGGCCCAGGGCUGCAGGUGAGAAGUGGGCGGGGUCAAGCCCCGUCCCUGGGAAUUGAUUGAGGUAUUUCACUGUGUGUAAUAGAUAUAAGAACUCAGAGCCAGCUGUUUGUGCUUUUGUCCCCUUUAUUAAAUUACUGCUGUGACUACGCACCAUCGGAAAUGUGUGCAAAAGAGGUGUUCCUGCUCUCCAUACGCCGAUACAAAUGUGCUACCUGCCGAGCGCCCCUAUUCCUAGUGACUGUUAGCCACUUCCAGUCGUCCUGUGCCUUUAAGGGAGGACUGCAGACAAAUCAGGGGAAGCCCCUGGACCCUUGGCUUCUUCUGCAGAGCUUUUCCUAAUGGCUUUACCCGAGGCAGCUGGUGGCUGACGGUGGUGGCUGGACGGGUCAGGUGGAACAGCCUGCACCUGGGGGCCACCUGAGCACAGCACACGCUGUCCUCCCCCUGCUGCCCUCCCCCUGCUGCCCUUCUGACUCCCUCUUCCAGUCUGAUGUGGCAAAGGUGUGCUCUGUGCCCUGGUCAGCUCACCAUGGUGGACUUGGCCUCCAUAUCAGUCUGCCCUGGUAGUGCUGGUUUGGAGCUGACUCUCCCUGACCACACACACACAUGCUUAAGGCCCUGCGUUGACCCCACUGCUACUCCCUUCUCAUCACCUGGGCCUCACCCUGGGCUGCGUUCACGGCCGGUCCAGCCAACCGUGUCACCUCCCUUCUCCAACGCCCCGAGCUCCGGUGACUCCUGUGGUAGUUUAUCCAGCCAUUCAUGCUGAGUCUCUCCUGUCACUUUCUGACCCUGCCAGUGGCCUUGGAUGAGUCAUUUAACCUCAGAAGAAGCAGCGUAGCAUUGAGUCUGGUGACUUCAAUUCCCUUCCAGCAUCAGUGUCAACAGUCACAGUUGUAGGACCUGUUUCUCUAAGGUCAGUGGAAAUUCAGGUUUCCCUCCAUAGAGAACCCAGAAUGAGUUGUCAGUCAACUCUUCAGAUUGAAUGUUAGUCCCUUUACUUUUUUUUUUUUUUUUUUUAGAUUUAUUUAUUUGACAGGCAGAGUUAGAGAGAGAGAGAUAGAUCUUCCAUCCACUGAUCCACUUCUGAAUGGCCUUAAUGGCUUGGGCUCUGCCAGGCCAAAGCCAGGAGCCAAGAACUUGCUCCAAGUCUCCAACGUGGGUGCAGGGGCCCCAAGCACUUGGGCCAUCUUUUGCUGCUUCUCUAGGCACAUUAGCAGGGAGCUUCCGGGACCCAAGCCAGCAUCCACAUGGGAUGCUGCGCAUCACAGGCAGCUGGUUAACCCACUAUGCCACAACACCAGCCCCACCACUUUAAUGUUAAUUCCUUGCUCAGCAAAUGUGGGUUGAGGGCCUCCUCUCUCCAAGCAUGUGUGAUCAGUUCAGCAGGGCAGUGAGCAAGGUCUUUGCUCUCAAGGUGCUCUCGGCUUUGUGUCCAUUCACAGCCAUAAAAGGUUGGCCGUCUGGACAGUUAUCACAGUUGCUCAUGCAGGUGUGCACGUACACACACACAAAUUAGUGUUUGAGAAGUGAAAUAUUUAGUCUUAUUUACCAUGCACAUGUUGUAUAAUAUGUAGUUUGUUUUUUUGUUGAAUGAAUGUAGUAAUUAAUAAUUUGUGUUUUAGAGGAAAGGUAGGAUUUUUUUAAAGAUUUAUUUAUUUGAAAAGCAGAGUAAGAGGGGGAAGAAGAGAGGGAAGGGGUGGGGAGAGAGAGAGAGAGAGAGAGAGAAAGAGAUCGAAAUCGAGAUCUUUCAUCUGUUGGUUCACUCCCCAAAUGGCAGCAGCAGUCAGAGCUGGGCCAGGCUGAAGCCAGGAGCUAGGAGCUUCUUCAGAGUCUCCCACAUGAGUGCAGGGACCUAAACACUUCAGCCAUCUUCCAUUGCUUUCCCAGGCCUAAACAGAGAGCUGGAUUGGAAGAGGAGAAGCUGGGACAUGAAUUGGCGCCCAUAUGGGAUGGUGGCAUUGCACCACGGCUUAACCCAUUGCGCAACAACACUGGCCCCAAGGGUAGGAUAAAUAAAUGUUUAUUUGGAAGUCAGAGAGACAGAGAGAGAUUAUUCCAUGUGCUGGUUCACUUCCCAAAUGACUGCAAUGGCUGGGGCUGGGCCAGGGUGAAGCAAGGAGCCAAGAACUUCAUCUGAGUCCUGCACAUGGGUUGCAGGGUCUCAACUACUUGAGCCAUCAUCCAUUGCCUGUCAGGCACCUCAGCAGGAAGCAGGAUUGGAGGUAGAGUAGCAGGUACUCAAACCAUGCACUUGGGGAUAUGGGAUGCAACUAUCCCAAGUGAUGGCUUAACCUGCUGUGGCACAAAUCUAGCCCCAAGAGUAGGAUUUAGACCUGGGUAGAUGGGAGAGAGGGGCACUAUAGCCUGGUGGGGAAUGUGGGUGAGAUGUAGUCAGGAGGAGGAAAUGUUCAGAGAUAGCUCAGCCUGGGGCAGGCUGGUCACCUGCUUUCAUUGUGAUGGACCAUGUGAUAGGGCAGGUAGUGGGAUGGUCUUGGAUUUAAACUCCGCUGAAGGAUUGAGUUUAUCCUGUGUAGUCGAUGAUCUCCCAUUCAGUUUCUCAGGGCUUUGCUGGUGUGGUGGUUAAUAGUGCCCCUUUCCCUCCCAAGAGAUGGACCAUAAACCACAUGGCCCGGCAAGUUUCAGGGCCGUGUGGAGCCCUGAAGGGCUUCCCGCUGGGUCACGGUCAGGUGGCUGCUGGAAGGCCAGUGCCCACCCUGUGUGGGGGGGCCUGGCGGCAGGAGGAGCUCCAGCAUCCUCUGAAGGGAGGAGAUGGUUCCCGACGCCGGGAGACGCCACGUGUGGACUCUCCAGUGGCUCCACGGCGGCCCUUCCAAGUUCAGCAUCCUGGAGAAGCGUUUUGCAACUGGAAGUUAUGACUGAUAAGAAAAACUAUUCACAUGGUGCCCGUUUCCUGAGCAAUGAAAAGUCGGAGAAGCUUCUGCCCAGCCUCCCAAAGGGCCUGGUGAAACCCGCUGGUAUUCUCUUGCCUAAACCCCGUCAUUGUUCCUUGGAAUUUCAAAUAGGUUAUGAAUGUGCUUGAUGUCAGGAAAGAUAAAUCUGUGAGGAGGACUGGAGUCAAUACAUUUCCUUUUUAAGUAGAAACAAUAUGAAGGGCUUCCUUCAAGCCCGAAUCAAUCUCACUUUGUUGCCAUGCUUGUGCAAAACCUGAGCUGCUUUAUGUCUGUUUAUAUUCCCCCGACGUCCCCCGUCCUGGCCGGCCCCGCGUGGAGUCCCAGCCUUUUUAGGCCAUGUACGGCUCGCUCCUCUCGGGGUGUUUUCUUGUACGCUGCAGUCAGGGUUGUGCUGUGAGUGGGGAUUUCGUUUUAUAGCCAAGUGGCCAAGUGCCCCCCAAGUGAGCUCUCUCUUUGUCUAGGAGAGUUGGAAGGCUCAAGUUUUUCUUUUUUUUCCCCCUCUUCCCUUUAGAAGAUUAUUCAGUGCAAACAUGGUGCAUCUGCACCUGCGGUUUGGAAGUGAGAAGUCUAUGAAAGCAUGGGCGUUAAGUUUUCAGUCUCACCCCUGAUGUGUCCACUCUGCUCUCUCCUCCACCGGGCCCCUGCCAGUUUGCUCAGGACAGCUCCAGUUGACGUUCUUUGUGGCUUAGCGGAUCAGUUAAAUAUUACCCACAGAUCGGUAAUCAAUUCAGUUUGCUCCUGUGUGUCCUCCCAAGAUUUCUCUGUACAAGUACAUGCAUAAGGGGAGAAGGUGACACGUUGCUUUUGUCACUUAGCAGUGCAUCCUGGGAACUCCCUGUCAGUCCGCGUGGAGUGUUUGCAUUUUGCUAACCUGUCUUGGGAGAGUGGUGUUUGCAGAGACUGGCAGGCAGCUGCCUUUGCCUUGAUUUACCAAUUUAGUAGCUACUUAGGGGUUGCUUCUGUUUACCUGAGAAGAAGUGAAAGGCUGUGGGAGAUGAAGUCAGCCUUCUUUAGAAAGUCCAGUCCAGCAGCAAACUCAUCCAGUAAGCAUUUAUUAGGCACCAGCUGUAUGCCUAACAUGGUUCUAGUCACUUUGGGUGAGCUGAGCCUUCCCUUCAUUUCCACUUGUUUAAGUCCUUCAAAGUCCAGCUCGGAUGCCUCACGCCUUCAUGAAGGCUUCCCGGAUUGACUGGUCAGGAUUUUUUUGCAUCCCCAGCCACCCACUGAUUUGUCCAUCGUCCAUCUGUCUGUCCGUCUUUGCAUCCAUCCAUCCAUUCCAGCGAGUGUCCAAAUACUUCCUCGUGCCAGGAUCUGUGCUAGAUGCUCUGUGUCCUCAUGUUCCACGUCCAUAGAUUCAGCCAACCUGUGGAUCGAAAAUAUUUGAAAACAACAACACCUGUGCUGAACAUGUACAGACUUUUUCUUGUUAUUGCUUGCUAACUGGUAUAGUAACUCAGUUCUCUAUAUAGCAUUUACAUUGUACUUGGCCUUAUAAGUAAUCUCAGGAUGAUUUAAAGUAAGGAGCUUAUAUGUAGGUUCUGUGCAAACCCUGUGCCAUCUUGUAUGAGGGGCUGGAGCACCUGUAGGUUUUGGCAUCAGUGAGUGGUCCUGGCGCCAGUCCCCCAUGGAUACUGAAGGCUGAUUGUAUAUAAAGCUGAACAAGAGGAUGAACUCUCUUCUCAAAGAGACAGAAACAGAUAAGUGAACACAUGGUAGCUGUGAUGACAAUCUUAAGCCCAGGCUGUUGAGGAAGCACAGAGCAAAGGGUGGCUGAUCACUGUGGUACAUGGGAGGGCCUGGGAGGCUUCUGGAAGGAGACUCCUCUAAUGAGACUUGCCUUUUUUUUUUUUUUUUUAAGAUUUAUUUAUUUGAAUGUCAGAGAGUGAUCUGUCCAUCCAUCCAUCCAUCCAUCCAUCCAUCCAUCCAUCUGUAUUUGCCAUCUGCUGGUUCACUCUCCAAAUGGGUACAACAGCCAGAACUGGGCCAGGUCAAGGCCAGGAGCCAAGAACUUCAUCCAGGUCUCCCAUAUGGGUGGCAGGGACUAAAAUAUCUAAAAUAUCUGGGUGGCAGCAUCAUUUGCUGCUUCUCAGGUGCAUUAGCAGGGAGCUGGAUCAGAAGCAGGGGAGCCAGGACUCCAACUGGAUGCUGUAUGGGCAUUGCAUAUGGCAGCUUAUCCCACUCUGCCACAAGACUGGUUCCUUAAGCUUUCUUUGUACUUUUAGUGUAUUUCCCUUAUCUUCAAGUCAUCUUCAUCUCUGGCCACUUCCCCUGGACUAAUGCUGUCUAUUUAAUAGCCACUCAAGUAUUUAUUGAGUAGGGGGAAAAGGUCAGAUGAACCUAGCAUUAAGGACAUUAAUGUCAAAAAGAGCAGGUGAGAUAUUCAUUGCUGCUCUUGGCUUUCAUGGUUAAUCUAGGCAACUGAUCUCCUCAAGGGCCCCUGUAAGUUAUGUCUGCCCCUCCCUUCAGUCUCCCUGUGUUGGUGGCAAGCAGUCUCUAUCCAUGCUCCAUCCAUUAGCAGUAGUGUAACAGGAAACCCACCAUCUGUGACACUGGAGCUGAAUGAAACAGCUGUGUGAAUGGGAACCCCAAGUCCCACCCUGUCUUUGGUCUUGGUUUCCCUCCUGGCAGGAGAGAGGCAGUUGUGAUACCUUAGGAUCCUCGCACUUCCGAGCAUUUCAAAAACAAUGAUUUCAAGAAUCUGGUGGCGCGUCCAGCUCCUUCUUUGAAUAACUCUGGCUUCCUUUGCAGCUUCCUGGUGCCACAGGGACUUGUCAGUCCAGGAGAAGAAAUGGCCAGAAUGAAAAAAAAAAAAAAAGGUCAGGCCAGGGGGGCCAGUGCUGUGGUGCAGCGGGUUAACACCCUGGCCUGAAGUGCCAGCAUCCCAUAUGGGUGUCGGUUCGAGACCCGGCUGCUCCACGUCCCAUCCAGCUCUCUGCUAUGGCCUAGGAUAGCAGUGGAAGAUGGCCCCUGCCACCUGUGUGGGAGACCCGGAGGAAGCUCCUGGCUCCUGGCUUCAGAUCAGUGCAGCUCUGGCAGUUGCAGCCAACUGGGGAGUGAACCAGUGGAUGGAAGACCUCUCUCUCUCUCUCUGUCUCUCUGUCUCUCUGUCUCUCUGUCUCUCUCUCUCUCUGCGCCUCUCCUCUCUGUGUCUAACUCUGACUUUCAAAUAAAUAAAUAAAUCUUAAAAAAAAAAAAAGAAAGAAAUGGCCAGGCCAGGAAAAUGACCCUUUCAUAAAGUUGAGAAGGGCUACUGGGAGGGCAAGGUGGCCGUGGUGUGGCCGUGGGUCUCUGUGCUGUGGGAUGCGGUGCACACUGCCUGAAGGUCGAGGAGAUGACUCCUGCUGUGCAGCUGCAGAGGCAGCCUGGUGGUGGGUGGUGUGGGAGAGGCUUUUGGCCACAUGUUAACAGAGGGCUUCCCUAAACUGUGCAUACUCCCCUCGUGGUUGCUCUCAUCUGUUCUUAUUUCUGCAGGAGCUGGUCACGGGAAGCAGGGAGGUGGGAUCGUGUUUUGCUGGUGCUUCCCAGGCCUGAUGCUCAGAGUGUUGACUGUGCCUGGCGCUGCCCUGGGCACUGUAGAUCCUUUUAAAUUGGAGCAUAAGAAACUCUUGCAGUGCGUGAUAAAAGCACAACCAUAACACAUUCCUUAGGUUAUGCAGGCUGUGUCCAGGUAUUUUCAUCUGCAAGGAACUGACCCCAAGUCGAGCUGUUCACAGGGAAAUUCAUUGUCUCUGAGACAGGGGUGGUUUUGUGGGGCUGCAAGGUGAGCCAUGCCCUCUGGGUUGACAGUUUCAGUGGCUCAGCAGUGUCACCAAAGCGUUGAGUUCUUCCUGUUUCUGCUGUCCUUGGCGUUAGCUUCAUUUGCAGCCUGCUGAUAUGGUGGCUGCAAACAUCUCAGUCAGACCCCGCCUGCAGGGGGAGAAGAUGGGUAUGGACUGAGUCUGGCCCUCUCUCGCAGGAGUCAGGAAGCUUCCGGGGACACCUCCAGCACUCUUCCCAUCAUGCCUUCUUGCUGAAUUGAGUCACGUGCCUUCCCCGAGCCAAUGGCUGGACCAAGAGUACGCUUCCGGGAGAAGAGUGGCACCUGAACAAAAUGGAGGCUCUGCCAGGAAGGAAGGGGGGGCAGCAAGCAGAGGCUGUGCGGUCACGGGGGCUCAGUGCACAGGUGGCUCCCAGCCCGCACUUGCAGAAACACGGCCAUACAUCACUGUGAGCCGGCAGGGUUGCUGGCGAGGUUAUCUCUGCUGUGCAGAUGGGGAAAUGAGCCCAGGGAGGGCUGCUGACUUGUCUUAGAUAACACGGGCGGAGGUUCUGGGGGUUGGGAGUGACGGGAUCGAGUGUUUGAGAGGCCUUUUCUCGCCAGGGGAGCUGUCAUUCUCUUGCUGUCCUGAGAUGUCCCAGCAGCCCCGUCAUCACUGAGUUCUGCUCCCCACAGUGGUUCACGGCAGGAGGCCUUCCCCCGAACACUUCCUAUAGGAAGACUUCUCAGGGCGUGAGCAAGCUAGGUUGUCUCCUCCUACCCCACCAGGAUGACUGUGGCUGAAAGCAGUUGGCAUCACACUCCUGUCUUGUGGGGCAGGCUACCCGUGCCAGCCCCAUGCCAGUCAUUGUGCACACAUUAUCGGAAAUCCUGGCAACAACCUCUUGAGUUAGGCUUGAUGAGCCACCGUGUAUGGAUGGGGAAACUGAAGCCUGGGAAGGACAAGUUGACUGUUGGGGGUGGGGCUGCCCACUGAGGUCAGAGCUCCUGCUUUGCACUGUGCUGUGGCUUAUCAGUGGCCACCAGCCUUGCUAUGCCCCUGAAGGAAGGUGCGUAUGGAAAGGGGCUUAGUGCAAAUGAGUUCCGAAGCAGCUGAAUGUUCCCUAUGGGAAUAAUUCUCAAGACCUUGGGGAAAAUAUCCUAAACAGAAAAAAUAUGACUCAGGAAACCUGGUUUGUCAUAGGUUGGCUAAAAUGUGAGUAGGAAAACCUCUCAACAGUUUUGAUGGUUGUUGGCUUUGAAAGGGGAAGGCUGCAGUGGAGAGGGCUGGGCUGGGGAGGUGAGUGAGUAGAGGGUGCAGAGUGCAGCAGGAAGGAGUGCCAGCAGGAGCCUGAACACCUCGCUGUGAGCCCCUCCCGCCAUGUGACCUCCAGCAAGGUGCUUGGCCAUUGGGGCAGCUUCUGCAAGUGUCCAGUGGGAUCCAGGUUGCGGAGGGAGCAGAGAGGCAAAGGGGCGGAGCAAGCUUUGCCGGCUGUCCAGGGCUUGCAGAGGUGUGGCGUGUCUGGGCAUAAGACUUGGCACCCAGUGUUCUAAGCUCUGGGCAGCCCUACCUGGCUGUGAGCUGUUCAUUGCCCUGAGCGCAAGAGUGUGACGGAGCUGCCUGUGGGCAAAUGUCUGGUUUUUACCUCUUCCCAAGGAGAAAUCCCUCUCUAGAGCCCCUCUCUAGCCUGGAGGUUUGGAGUUCUUCCCUGGGCACCUGACCUGCCUCUGCCCCAGGAGCAUUGUCUGGGAGCCCCACAGCCUUCACAGAUGCCCAUGGGGAGAUAAAGUUGGUGGAGAUAAGUGCCUUGUGCUCAGUGUGUGUGUGUGUGUGUGAGGUAUUUAAGAUUACACUCUCUUCUGUUCUUCCCACACACCUCCUGUUUAUUGAACACUUUCUGAAUAUUGGUUGAGUGGCUUUUGCAUGGCAAGCUGAGCUUAGCGCUGAGGUCUCAAAGACAACAAUCGUUGCCCUCAAGGCAUUGUCUAGCAGGUAAACAAGAUGCUUACAAAGCCCUGUGAUAAGUGCUAGUAGGUAUGUACAGUGUCCUCUGGGAGAGCAAGGAGGGGACCCUUGGUGUGUUUGGUGGGAGGAGGUGUCACCUGAGCUGGGGCUAAGAUGGGAGGGAAACGUGCCGGGUGGACCAGCCUCUUGGAGGGCAUUCUAUGCAGAGGGUGGGCAGAGCAUGAAAACCUGCUGUGUGGCAGUGUGACACAGAGAUGGAUGGGACCCAGCCUGCCCUGCUGCUGCCCACACUCAGAGGUGAACAGGAAAUGAGGUACAGGUGACCGUAUGAUAGGGCUGGACGGAGUUCGUGGCAACAGAGAGACCUGCUUAGCAGUCUUCCUCCUGGGGGACUGUGCAGGUUCUUUCAUUCGUGAGGGCCCUGUUGAAGGAGCUGGCUUGCUGUCUGCUGCCCGAUGUUGACCGUGCCCUUCAACAGUUUGGAUGCUGCUGCAAGGCAUCGAUUUACCAGGUUUCUUCCUUGCACCCGUGUCCUCUGUGGCUGUAAGAAGAUAUCUGAGGCUGGGCACUUUAUGAAGAGAAGAGGUUUAUUUAGACCACAGUUCUGGGUUUGAGGGCAUGGUGCCAGUGUUGUAGGCAGGCAUACAGGAUAAGAUCGAUCAGGCUUGUGAACUGGAAGGCCACUCCUGCACCACACCCCUGUGUGACCUCAUGCCCCUACCUGACCACACCUGUGUGCCCACCGGCUGAUCAGGCUAAUUAACCACUCCCCUUUGGAAGUGGAUUAAAGGCCUGGGACAUGGUGGGCCCAGCCCUUUUUUUGGCCUUUUGCUGUUGUGGGCCACGCUGCCCUGUGCCUCCAGGGCGUGUGGCCUUCAGGCCACCCACCCCAUGUUUCCUGGCCUGCAUGCUCCUCCACGUGGCUGGCUCCUGGUGCUCAGUGUGAAUCCAGAUUUCCCUUUCUUUCUUAGAUAGGGCCCUCACUCUCCUAUGCAUUUCUCCUACUGAAUAAAAAGCUUAAAACUUAUUGAGGCUGAUGCUGUGGCGCAGCAGGUUAAUGCCCUGGCUUGAAGCACCGACAUCCCAUAUGGGCGCCAGUUCGAGUCCCAGCUGCUCCUCUUCUGAUCCAGCUCUUUGCUAUGGCCUGGGAUAGCAGUGGAGGAUGUCCCAAGUCCUUGGGCUCCUGCACCCACAUGGGAGACUGGGAGGAGGCUCCUGGCUCCUAGUUUCAGAUCAGCGCAGCUCCGGCCAUUGCAGCUGUCUGGGGAGUGAACCAACAGAUGGAAGACCUCUCUCUCUGUCUCUACCUCUCUCUGUAACUCUGUCUUUCAAAUAAAUAAAAUAAAUCUUAAAAAAAAACUUAUGCUGCCUCAUUCAUUUAUGCUGGUGUUCAGAAUUCUCUGAAUAUUAGGCAAGAACCCACACAGGCUUAUUAAUAUUGGGAAUUUAUUAAUAAACACAUGGUUGAUAUCAUAAUUGGCACCCCAAUAUUCUGAUAUCACCAGCAUCUGCUUAGCUCUUGCCAGGAGGUGGGGGGAGCUUCCUGGCAGAUGGCAUCACCAUGGCUAGAGUGGAUGCAAAAGAGAUCCUGUGGCAAGGUGGGAAGCAGGAGACUGUGGAGGAUCCUGGCUCACUCUUUGUAACUGCUCACUCUUUGUAACCGUGGGAACUCACUCCUAGGAGAGCCUCAUUCAUGAGGGUGGAGCCCUCAGUCACCUAAUUAUCUCCAGGAGACCCCAUCUCAACGUAGCUACAUCUCAACGUAGGUACAAUGGUCCAUGAACCCUUGGGGAACACAGUCAGACCACAGUCAAACCUUAGCAGUUGGACUUAGGGAGUUGGAGUUGGGCAAGUCAUUUAUCUCUGUGGAUCACCUGCCUCUCAGUGACCUGCUCUUUGAAAUUCAGAGUUCAUAACUUUCUCCCCAUUCAUGCAAUGCAAUCAGUCUCUUUAGGGGUGAGGCCUGGAGUUCUGCAUUUAACGGGCACUCCAGGUGCCUCCUAGACAUCUUCUAGAGUCUCAGAACUGAGGGGCUGCCCGAUUUUAGCCUCCCAUCCUUUCAUCCCAAAUCUCAGCCAUGUGUUCAAGGAAACUGGAACGAUGUUAGCUCUCUUGAUGUUUUAUCCUUGCAAUGAUAUCCUUAGCAAGCUGGAUCUUGCCAGUGUGUGCUUAUGAGCUGUUCUGCAGGCUGGUUUUGAUAUUCUUUAAGGAGGAAAAACCUUGUUAACAUGCACCCAAACGGGACCGUCAAAAUCUGUGAUCUGAAUCGUUACAGCCAA